rnacentral:rRNA from 1 species
AUUGAACGCUGGCGGCAGGCCUAACACAUGCAAGUCGAGCGAGCGGUGGACGGGUGAGUAAUGCCUGGGAAUUGCCGAGGCGAGGGGGAUAACAGUGGGAAACGACUGCUAAUCCCGCAUACGAUCGGAUUGCCCAGGCGGGUUUAGCUGGUGGGUGGGUUAAUGGCCCACCAAGGCGACGAUCCCUAGCUGGUCUGAGAGGAUGAUCAGCCAAACUGGAACUGAGAACCGGUCCAGACUCCUACGUGAGGCAGCAGUGGGGAAUAUUGCACAAUGGGGGAAACCCUGAUGCAGCCAUGCCGCGUGUGUGAAGAAGGCCUUCGGGUUGUAAAGCACUUUCAGCGAGGAGGCGUUACUCGCAGAAGAAGCACCGGCUAACUCCGUGCCAGCAGCCGCGGUAAUAC